AUCUUUUCUUCUUUGUGCGGCAGCCAGAACUAUUACCGUGUUGCUUGUCUUUUUCAGAUAUCCCAACGAGUUGGCGAGCGUCAAGUUCCUGGCGAGAAUAAUAUCCGUUCAACCUUUGGUUGUUUGGAGCAACGACCAUCUUAACGCCCUUUCAGUAGUUUGAGUUACGUAUUUCGAGGAAGAUUUAUCUUUCGCGAUGUAUAUUGGAAUUACUGAGGGCUGGUAGGUCAAACAUUC
rnacentral:snoRNA from 1 species